rnacentral:rRNA from 1 species
AUGCUGGACAUGGAGGAGUCCACGCAGCCCAAGCCCGCCGACCCCUCCGAGCCGGAGCUCCCCAACGGCGCCGCGGACCAGGACGAGCCGGAGCUGGCGUCGCCCGCUGCCGCGGAGGCGCCGGCGGCAGAGGAGGUGGCGGCUGUGGAGGAGGUCCCGGCGAGAUCGGAGCCGCCCAAGGGCGCGGGGACGAACGCGGACGGCUGGCGCCCCUACACCAUGGGGGAGCUGCUCGGGGAGGCCGCCGCCGCCGGGAGAUCCGACUUCGCCGCCGACGGGAAUGGGGCCGGAUCCGCCACCCCCGAGCGCUCCAGCCAGGACAGCCUGCAACUCUCAACCCAUCAUGAUGUUGCCAUGGACUUGAUAAAUAGUGUCACUGGAGUUGAUGAGGAAGGUCGCUCUCGCCAACGUAUUCUUACCUUUGCAGCGAAAAGAUAUAUUAGCGCCAUUGAAAGAAAUCCAGAAGACCCUGAUGCAUAUUAUAACUGGGCCCUAGUUCUCCAGGAAAGUGCAGACAACGUGGAUCCUAAUUCUGAUUCUUCGAAAGAUUCAUUGCUUGAGGAGGCUUGCAAGAAGUAUGCUGAAGCUACACGACUUUGCCCAACACUGUAUGAUGCAUAUUACAACUGGGCUAUUGCUAUAGCUGAUCGGGCCAAAAUGCGUGGGCGUACCAAAGAGGCUGAAGAACUCUGGCAGCAGGCUAUAAGGAACUAUGACAAGGCAGUCCAGUUAAGUUGGAACAGCCCCCAGGCUCUCAACAACUGGGGCCUUGGACUACAGGAAUUGAGUGCGAUUGUUCCUGCUAAAGACAAGCAAACAAUCAUAAAAACAGCUAUAAAGGAUACCUUGAGGUCUGGAGGGGCCGAUACCUCUCCUAAUGACCUGUAUAGUCAGUCUGCUAUUUACGUUGCAGCUGCUCAUGCAUUGAAGCCAAAUUAUUCGGUUUAUCGCAGUGCUCUACGGUUGGUCCGCUCAAUGCUACCUUUGCCAUAUUUAAAAGUGGGAUAUUUGACUGCUCCUCCGGCAGACGACCCCAUUGCACCACACAAACAUUGGGAGAGGUCGCAGUUCAUCUUAAACCAUACGGAACUCCAGCAGGUCAAUGAUUCCGAAAGUGCACCUGUCAAAGCAAACGCCCUCGUGGAGAAAGCCAAAAGGUUUAUCAAGGUAGACGUCGCGGACAUAGUUUCAGUGUCCACGUGCUCCGAUCUGACCCUGCCCCCUGGCGCCGGCCUUUGUAUAAACACAACGUAUGGGCCUGUGUUCUUGGUUGCUGAUACCUGGGAGUCUCUCGACGGCUGGCUAGACGCGAUAUGCCUGGUGUACACCAUAUUCGCAAGAGGGAAGACCGAUGUCCUGGCGGGCAUCAUCACCGGCUGA